GUUGGAUCAUCACGAGUAAUGUAUUUGAACGUGACCUAUUUUGAGCCUGUAUUUGAGUUGCUUCGUGUGGAAGAAAUUGGAAAACUCUCAUGGAAUAAACAGAGAUUGAACUGCGGACCUGUCUGAAUGUAACCAGCAGAGGGCAUUAAAGAGGCUUCCCCCCUCCUAAGCUAGAUGGAAGGUUAGAGGCCUCUAAAAAGUGCUCGUUCUGGGUUGAGCGGAGAUGAAUGGGAUUGGGAAGCCUCAUUUGAUGCAGCUGAAUGUGUCAUCCCUGACAUAUGCAAGUGGCUCCAGAAAGCCUAUCCCAGCUACUCGGGUAUAUUCUCUCACUUAAAUGAAAUGUGUGACCUCAAGUUCAGACUUACUCAACUCAAAAUAAAACUGAAAUAACUUAAA